rnacentral:rRNA from 1 species
AACGAACGCUGGCGGCAGGCUUAACACAUGCAAGUCGAGCGCCCCGCAAGGGGAGCGGCAGACGGGUGCGUAACGCGUGGGAACGUACCUUUUGGUUCGGAACAACUCCGGGAAACUGGAGCUAAUACCGGAUAAGCCCUAACGGGGAAAGAUUUAUCGCCGAAAGAUCGGCCCGCGUCUGAUUAGCUAGUUGGUGAGGUAACGGCUCACCAAGGCGACGAUCAGUAGCUGGUCUGAGAGGAUGAUCAGCCACACUGGGACUGAGACACGGCCCAGACUCCUACGGGAAGCAGCAGUGGGGAAUAUUGGACAAUGGGCGCAAGCCUGAUCCAGCCAUGCCGCGUGAGUGAUGAAGGCCUUAGGGUUGUAAAGCUCUUUUGUCCGGGAAGAUAAUGACUGUACCGGAAGAAUAAGCCCCGGCUAACUUCGUG